rnacentral:rRNA from 1 species
GACGAACGCUGGCGGCGUGCUUAACACAUGCAAGUCGAACGAGGUCCAACCAGUCGCAAGACUGGGGAAGACCUAGUGGCGAACGGGUGAGUAACACGUGAGGAACGUGCCCCGGAGACCGGGAUAACAGCGGGAAACCGCUGCUAAUACCGGAUACCGUCUUUUGAUCGCAUGGUCAGCUGAAGAAAUGGAUUCCGCUCCGGGAGCGCCUCGCGGUCUAUCAGCUUGUUGGUGGGGUAACGGCCCACCAAGGCGUCGACGGAUAGCUGGUCUGAGAGGAAGAUCAGCGACACUGGGACUGAGACACGGCCCAGACUCCUACGGGAGGCAGCAGUGGGGAAUCUUGCCCAAUGGGCGAAAGCCUGAGGCAGCAACGCCGCGUGCGGGAUGAAGGCCCUUGGGUUGUAAACCGCUUUCAGCAGGGACGAAGAUGACGGUACCUGCAGAAGAAGCCCCGGCCAACUACGUGCCAGCAGCCGCCGCUGUAA